CGCCAUGUUCUGGAACCCCCAUCUCCAUGGGAGCCACCGCCUCACAGAGAGUCAGUAUCCCAUGGCCGGGCCACUAGACAGCAGCCAUGGACCACCAGGCUUCUCACCACCAUCACCACUGGCAUCCGACUGGCGGUGACGAGGAUGUGACGACACCAAGGGGCUGUACCUGCAGAGCCUGGGCCGCUGCCGGCAGUGAGCGCUGAUGGCCUCCAUCCUGUCUCCCCCCUCUCACGGCUACCGCAAGCUGGUGACUGCCCAGCAGCACCUCUUCCUCCUGGAUUACAGCAGGACCCUAGCACAUCUUCCGCAUCAGCUUCCCUGCCUCCAUCUGCUUCCGACAGGUGGUCGUCACCAGCCCGGAGGUGAUGUGGAUCCUUCUGCUGCUCAGAGGUCCCCCACUGGGUCAGCGGCCUCAGCACCUCCUGCCGUUGCCUCUUCCUCCGCUGCGG